GAUGAAGAACGCAGCGAAAUGCGAUAAGUAAUGUGAAUUGCAGAAUUCAGUGAAUCAUCGAAUCUUUGAACGCACAUUGCGCCCCCUGGUAUUCCGGGGGGCAUGCCUGUUCGAGCGUCAUUUCACCACUCAAGCCUCGCUUGGUAUUGGGCAACGCGGUCCGCCGCGUGCCUCAAAUCGACCGGCUGGGUCUCCUGUCCCCUAAGCGUUGUGGAAACUAUUCGCUAAAGGGUGUUCGGGAGGCUACGCCGUAAAACAACCCCAUUUCUAAGGUUGACCUCGGAUCAGGUAGGGAUACCCGCUGAACUUAAGCAUAUCAAUAGCGGAGGA
rnacentral:misc_RNA from 1 species